CAACAAAUUACCAUAAAUAACCCCAAACACACUAGUGUUAUAUUAAAUAAAUCAUUCUUCCCCCUUAGUACGGGCGACAGAAAAGGGACUACGGCGCAAUAGAAAAAGUACCGCAAGGGAACGCUGAAAGAGAAAUGAAAGAACCCAGUAAAGCCUUAAAAAGCAGAGAUUUUUACUUGUACCUUUUGCAUCAUGAUUUAGCUAGAAAUGCCCAGGCAAAGAGAACUUUAGUCUGGUUUCCCGAAACUAAGUGAGCUACUCCAAGACAGCCUAUUAAUAGGGCACACCCGUCUCUGUGGCAAAAGAGUGGGAGGAGCUUUGAGUAGAGGUGACAGACCUACCGAACUUAGUUAUAGCUGGUUGCCUGAGAAUUGGAUAGGAGUUCAGCCUCCCGGCUUCUUUUCUCACCCUUGUCCUAACACCCUAUAGACACCCAAAGAAUACCGCGAGAGUUAGUCAAAGGGGGUACAGCCCCUUUGAAAUAAGACACAACUUUUCCAGGAGGGUAAAGAUCAUAAUAAACUAAAGUAAAAUGUUCUGGUGGGCCUAAAAGCAGCCACCCCCCUAGAAAGCGUUAAAGCUCAGACAUACCACUUACCUUCUUAUUCUGAUAACUUAUCUUAACCCCCUAACCUUAUCAGGCCGCCCCAUGCUUUCAUGGGGGUGACCAUGCUAAUAUGAGUAAUAAGAGAGCCUCGACUCUCUCCCCGCACACGUGUAAAUCGGAACGGACAAGCCACCGAACCUUAACGGCCCCAAACAAAGAGGGUAAUGAACAAUAGACUAAACAACUAGAAAAACAUUCAAACUUUAACCGUUAACCCCACACUGGAGUGCCCCCCGGGAAAGACUAAAAGAAAAAGAAGGAACUCGGCAAACACAUAAAGCCUCGCCUGUUUACCAAAAACAUCGCCUCUUGCUGAAAUUAAAGAAUAAGAGGUCCCGCCUGCCCUGUGACUAUAAGUUUAACGGCCGCGGUAUUUUGACCGUGCGAAGGUAGCGCAAUCACUUGUCUUUUAAAUGAAGACCUGUAUGAAUGGCAUAACGAGGGCUUAGCUGUCUCCUUUUUCCGGUCAAUGAAAUUGAUCUCCCCGUGCAGAAGCGGGGAUGAGACCAUAAGACGAGAAGACCCUAUGGAGCUUUAGACACCAAGGUAAGCCAUGUUAAAUACCCCAAAAUAAAGGGCUAAACCAAAUGAAAUUUACCCCCAUGUCUUUGGUUGGGGCGACCGCGGGGAAAUACAAAACCCCCACGUGGAAUGAGAAUACUCUUUCCUACAACUAAGAGCCCCCGCUCUAGUUAACAGAAUUUCUGACCAGCAAGAUCCGGCAACGCCGAUCAACGGACCGAGUUACCCUAGGGAUAACAGCGCAAUCCCCUUUUAGAGCCCAUAUCGACAAGGGGGUUUACGACCUCGAUGUUGGAUCAGGACAUCCUAAUGGUGCAGCCGCUAUUAAGGGUUCGUUUGUUCAACGAUUAAAGUCCUACGUGAUCUGAGUUCAGACCGGAGUAAUCCAGGUCAGUUUCUAUCUAUGCUAUGAUCUUUUCUAGUACGAAAGGACCGAAAAGGAGAGGCCCAUGCUUCAAGUAUGCCUCACCCCCACCUAAUGAAAACAACUAAAAUAGGCAAAAGGGCAUGUCCCCUUUUGCCUAAGACUACGGCAA
rnacentral:rRNA from 1 species